GUAGGUGAACCUGCGGAAGGAUCAUUACCGAGUUAGGGUUCGUCCAACGAGCCCGAUCUCCCAACCCUUUGUCUAUCUUACCUUGUCGUUGCUUCGGCGGACCGGUCGCGACCAACUGGUCGUGGCCGCCGGGGGCCCGUCCCUUGGAGAGUGUCCGCCGACGGCUCAACCACAAACUCUUGUACCAAACCAUGUCGUCUGAAUUACUUGAUUAAAAUCAAAAAACAAAACUUUCAACAACGGAUCUCUUGGUUCUG
rnacentral:misc_RNA from 1 species